CGAGGAUUCCCAUAGUAACGGCGAGUGAAAUGGGAAAAGCCCAGCGCUGAAUCCAUCGAUCACUGGUCGCUUGGAAUUGUAGCGUAUAGGUGCGGCUGUCCGCUCGUUUCGUGCACCCAAAGUCCCCUUGAGCGGGGCCAUAGUCCAAAGAAGGUGCUAGACCUGUACGGGUGGCGAGACGGUCGGUUGGUCGCUCCUUGGAGUCGGGUUGCCUGGGAUCGCAGCCCAAAGUUGGUGGUAGACCUCAUCUAAGGCUAAAUAUGGCCACGAAACCGAUAGCAAACAAGUACCGUGUGGGAAAGUUGCAAAGAACUUUGAAGAGAGAGUUCAAGAGGGCGUGAAACCGCCGAGAUUGAAACGGAUAGAGUUGACGAAACUCGAUCGCAUUCAUCCGAUCCGCCUAGCGGUUCGGCGGUUGUUGACUUCCUCGAUGAGGGCAACGCCGUCGCUGGCUGUUGGGUGUUAGAUGGGUGUAUUUGCGGUCGGUAUGCGCCGAGAGCUUUGCGAACGCAUGUUGGCGUUGAUGUAGUGGACCACUCCCUCCGGGCGUGGAACCCUGCACUGACUGAGGCAUGUCGUUUGUAGGGUGUUGCUGGUUGACGUCUCCGCUAUGGUGCGUCGGCUUUGUCGGACUGUUGUGGCUACUGGGUGAUCGCAUGCGAGCGCCUGUGGUUUAUGAUCGUACGAUGAGGUGCAGAUGCGCUUGAGACGUGCAUCUCGGUGUGAACGUUGACCACCUAUCCGA
rnacentral:rRNA from 1 species